UCAAGCGAACAAGGGCGCAGGGCGAAUGCCUUGGCACUGGGAGCCGAUGAAAGACGUGAUAAGCUGCGAUAAGCUUCGGGGAGCUGCAAAUAAGCAUUGAUCCGGAGAUUUCUGAAUGAGGAAACUCACCUGGGUUCAUACUCAGGUACAAUGCACUGAAAUUUAAAAUAGGUGUAUUGAGGGAACCGCCUGAACUGAAACAUCUAAGUAGGGCGAGGAAGAGACAUCAAACGAGAUUCCGUAAGUAGUGGCGAGCGAACGCGGAAGAGGGCAAACCGAGAGUAGAAAUACUUUCGGGGUACGGACUGCUUUUAAGACUCAAUCUGUUAACCGAACGGCAUGGGAAGGCCGGUCAGAGAGUGUGAGAACCACGUAGGUGAAAACGGAGAGAGCUGCGCAGGAUCCAGAGUACGGCCAGACACGUGAAACCUGGUCGGAAUACGGGGGGACCACCCUCCAACCCUAAAUACUACCCAGUGACCGAUAGCGUAUAGUACUGUGAAGGAAAGGUGAAAAGCACCCCGGGAGGGGAGUGAAAAAGAACCUGAAACCCUGUGCCUACAAGCACCUAGAGCGCGUCAAAGCGUGAUAGGGUACUUUUUGUAGAACGGUCCGGCGAGCGAUUGUAUGCAGCAAGGUUAAGGACUUAAGGUCUGGAGCCGAAGCGAAAGCGAGUUUGAAAAGGGCGUUAAGUUGCAUAUAAUGGGCCCGAAACCGGGUGACCUACCCAUGGUCAGGUUGAAGUGGAAGUAAAAUUCCAUGGAGGACCGAACCGACCUCCGUUGAAAAGGCGGCGGAUGAACUGUGGGUAGCGGAGAAAUUCCAAUCGAACCCGGAGAUAGCUGGUUCUCCCCGAAAUAGUUUUAGGACUAGCCUCAAGUUAGAUACCUGGAGGUAAAGCACUGAAUAGCCUAGCGGCCGAGAGGUUAGCGAAGCUUAUCAAACUCAGAAUGCCAGAGUAUUGAUGCUUGGGAGUCAGACAGUGUCAGAUAAAUGUCAUUGUCAAAAGGGAAACAGCCCAGAUCUACAGCUAAGGUCCCAAAGUCAGGUUAAGUGGAAAACGAUGUGAAGAUACGCAGACAACCAGGAUGUUGGCUCAGAAGCAGCCACUCAUUCAAAGAGUGCGUAAUAGCUCACUGGUCGAGCGUCUUUGCGCGGAGAAUUUAACGGGGCUAAACCUGACACCGAAGCUUAGGCAAUGCACGUAAGUGUAUUGGGUAGGGGAGCGUUGUAUACGCGGAGAAACAGUAGCGCAAGCGGCUGUGGAGUGUAUAGAAGUGAGAAUGCCGGAAUGAGUAGCGCGAAUGCAGUGAGAAUCUGCAUGGCCGAAAGCCUCAGGUUUCUGGAGGAAGGUUCGUCCGCUCCAGGUUAGUCGGGAGCUAAGGUGAGGCCGGAAGGCGUAGCCGAUGCACAGACGGUAGAGAUUCCGUCACCACCAAAAGAGUUAAGCACAGGGACACAUAUGAAGUCUCAGAGCCGGGUGUUGGUUCCGGUAGAGAUCGAGGGAAAUUAGUACCGAAGUCUGAGAUGGAAGAUGGCGAGAAAAGCUGUGUGUAUUUCUGAGGUGCCCGUACCGCAAACCGACACAGGUAGGUAGGAAGAAGAUUCUAAGGCCAACGGGAGAAGGGUUGUUAAGGAACUCGGCAAAUUGACCCCGUAACUUCGGGAGAAGGGGUGCUCCAGAGAUGGAGCCGCAGAGAAUCGGCCCAAGCAACUGUUUACCAAAAACACAGGUUUGUGCUAAAUCGAAAGAUGACGUAUACGAGCUGACGCCUGCCCGGUGCUGGAAGGUUAAGAGGAGAUGUGCAAGCAUUGAAUCGAAGCCCCAGUGAACGGCGGCCGUAACUAUAACGGUCCUAAGGUAGCGAAAUUCCUUGUCAGGUAAGUUCUGACCCGCAUGAAAGGCGUAAUGAUUUGGGCACUGUCUCAACAGCCCGCCCGGCGAAAUUGUAGUACCGGUGAAGAUGCCGGUUACCCGCGACAAGACGGAAAGACCCCAUGGAGCUUUACUGUAGCCUAAUAUUGGGUUUCGAUGUUGCAUGCACAGGAUAGAUGGGACUCUUGGAAACCAAGGCUUUGGCUUUGGCGGAGAGGCCGUUGGGAUACCAUCCUUGCGAUAUUGGAAUUCUAACCUGCGGCUCUGAAUCGAGUCGGGGGACAUUGUUAGGUGGGCAGUUUGACUGGGGCGGUCGCCUCCUAAAGAGUAACGGAGGCGUUCAAAGGUUCGCUCAGCUUGAACGGAAAUCAAGCAAAAGAGUGCAAACGCAGAAGCGAGCCUAACUGCGAGACUGACGGGUCGAGCAGUAACGAAAGUUGGAGUUAGUGAUCCGGUGGUAUGUGAGUGG
rnacentral:rRNA from 1 species